rnacentral:rRNA from 1 species
UGGGGAAUAUUGGGCAAUGGAGGCAACUCUGACCCAGCAACGCCGCGUGAAUGAUGAAGGUCUUCGGAUUGUAAAGUUCUGUGAUGGGGGAAGAAGAAAGUGACAGUACCCCAAAAGCAAGUCACGGCUAACUACGUGCCAGCAGCCGCGGUAAUACGUAGGUGACAAGCGUUGUCCGGAAUGACUGGGCGUAAAGCGUGCGUAGGUGGUCGAAUAAGUUAGUAGUGAAAUUCCGGGGCUCAACUCCGGCGCUAUUACUAAGACUAUCCGACUUGAGUGCGAGAGAGGUAAGUGGAAUUCCUAGUGUAGCGGUGGAAUGCGUAGAUAUUAGGAGGAACACCAGUGGCGAAGGCGACUUACUGGCUCGUAACUGACACUGAGUGCACGAAAGCGUGGGGAGCAAACAGG